UGGGGAAUCUUGCGCAAUGGUCGAAAGACUGACGCAGCGACGCCGCGUGUGGGAGGACGCCUUUCGGGGUGUAAACCACUGUUGCCCGGGACGAACUGCUUCUUUCGAGAAGCUUGACGGUACCGGGUGAGGAAGCACCGGCUAACUCCGUGCCAGCAGCCGCGGUAAUACGGAGGGUGCGAGCGUUGUCCGGAAUCAUUGGGCGUAAAGGGCGCGUAGGUGGCCCGGUCAGUUCGUGGUGAAAGCGCGGGGCUCAACCCUGCGUCGGCCAUGAAUACUGCCGCGGCUGGAGCACUGUAGAGGCAGGCGGAAUUCCGGGUGUAGCGGUGGAAUGCGUAGAGAUCCGGAAGAACACCGGUGGCGAAGGCGGCCUGCUGGGCAGUUUGCUGACACUGAGGCGCGACAGCGUGGGGAGCAAAC
rnacentral:rRNA from 1 species